AGAGGGUGAGGAGCUGACUGGAAGCAUCAUUCUCCAGGAUGUCAGAGUCUCCUUGGAAGAGCCCUAAUUAAGGACUCAGAAUGAUUGACAGGUGGUGGAAGCUCGAGAAAGCACACUUGAUAUGCAGCGGAAGACAGUCUCUGAGUUGCAAAAAACCUGGCAAUUGGAGACCUUGAAAAACUUUUCAGGUCAGAAAGGGAGACCAGAGGGCAGCUAUGGAAUCACAGUCUCCACUUCAGGUAAGGGGAGGACGUGCAUUGGCCACAUUUGGUGAUAUCACACUAGUGAUAUCUUCUCAAACCAGGCCAAGGGUGUGUG
rnacentral:lncRNA from 1 species